rnacentral:rRNA from 1 species
UACGUAGGGUCCGAGCGUUGUCCGGAAUUACUGGGCGUAAAGAGCUCGUAGGUGGUUUGUCGCGUUGUUCGUGAAAACUCACAGCUUAACUGUGGGCGUGCGGGCGAUACGGGCAGACUUGAGUACUGCAGGGGAGACUGGAAUUCCUGGUGUAGCGGUGGAAUGCGCAGAUAUCAGGAGGAACACCGGUGGCGAAGGCGGGUCUCUGGGCAGUAACUGACGCUGAGGAGCGAAAGCGUGGGGGGCGAACAGG